AGUGAACGCUGGCGGCGUGCUUAACACAUGCAAGUCGAACGGAUGAAAUAAGCUUGCUUAUUUCGUUAGUGGCGCACGGGUGAGUAAUGUAUAGCUAACCUGCCCUUUAGUGGGGGACAACAGUUGGAAACGACUGCUAAUACCCCAUACUCCUUCUUAUCAUAAGGUAAGUCGGGAAAGAUUUAUUGCUAAAGGAUGGGGCUUUAUUGUAUCAGCUUGUUGGUGGGGUAAUGGCCUACCAAGGCGAUGACGCAUACCUGGUCUGAGAGGAUGAUCAGGCACACUGGAACUGAGACACGGUCCAGACUCCUACGGGAGGCAGCAGUGGGGAAUAUUGCACAAUGGGGGAAACCCUGAUGCAGCAACGCCGCGUGGAGGAUGACGCAUUUCGGUGUGUAAACUCCUUUUAUAAGGGAAGAUAAUGACGGUACCUUAUGAAUAAGCACCGGCUAACUCCGUGCCAGCAGCCGCGGUAA
rnacentral:rRNA from 1 species